UUAAGAAAAUUGUUUUUAAGU
rnacentral:piRNA from 1 species